UACCAGCACCCCGAGUGGUCGGGACGUUUAUUGGGCCUAAAGCAUCCGUAGCCGGUUCUACAAGUCUUCCGUUAAAUCCAACUGCUUAACAGGUGGGCUGCGGAAGAUACUAUAGAGCUAGGAGGCGGGGAGAGGCAAGCGGUACUCGAUGGGUAGGGGUAAAAUCCGUUGAUCCAUUGAAGACCACCAGUGGCGAAGGCGGCUUGCCAGAACGCGCUCGACGGUGAGGGAUGAAAGCUGGGGGAGCAAACCGG
rnacentral:rRNA from 1 species